rnacentral:rRNA from 1 species
UACAGAGGGGGCAAGCGUUGUUCGGAAUUACUGGGCGUAAAGCGCACGUAGGUGGCGACGUAAGUCGGGUGUGAAAGCCCCGGGCUCAACCUGGGAAUUGCAUUCGAGACUGCAUUGCUGGAGUACGGAAGAGGAGGGCGGAAUUCCCGGUGUAGCGGUGAAAUGCGUAGAUAUCGGGAGGAACAUCAGUGGCGAAGGCGGCCCUCUGGUCCAGUACUGACACUCAAGUGCGAAAGCGUGGGGAGCAAACAGG